rnacentral:rRNA from 1 species
AGCAUAUCAAUAAGCGGAGGAAAAGAAACCAACCGGGAUUGCCUUAGUAACGGCGAGUGAAGCGGCAAAAGCUCAAAUUUGAAAUCUGGUACCUUCGGUGCCCGAGUUGUAAUUUGGAGAGGGCAACUUUGGAACCGUUCCUUGUCUAUGUUCCUUGGAACAGGACGUCAUAGAGGGUGAGAAUCCCGUGUGGCGAGGAGUGCGGUUCUUUUGUAAAGUGCCUUCGAAGAGUCGAGUUGUUUGGGAAUGCAGCUCUAAGUGGGUGGUAAAUUCCAUCUAAAGCUAAAUAUUGGCGAGAGACCGAUAGCGAACAAGUACAGUGAUGGAAAGAUGAAAAGAACUUUGAAAAGAGAGUGAAAAAGUACGUGAAAUUGUUGAAAGGGAAGGGCAUUUGAUCAGACAUGGUGUUUUGCGCCCUCUGCUCCUUGUGGGUGGGGGAAUCUCGCAUUUCACUGGGCCAGCAUCAGUUUUGGUGGCAGGAUAAAUCCGUAGGAAUGUAACUUGCUUCGGGAAGUAUUAUAGCCUGCGGGAAUACUGCCAGCUGGGACUGAGGACUGCGACGUAAGUCAAGGAUGCUGGCAUAAUGGUUAUAUGCCGCCCGUCUUGAAACACGGACCAAGGAGUCUAACGUCUAUGCGAGUGUUUGGGUGUAAAACCCAUACGCGUAAUGAAAGUGAACGUAGGUUGGGGCCUCGCAAGAGGUGCACAAUCGACCGAUCCUGAUGUCUUCGGAUGGAUUUGAGUAAGAGCAUAGCUGUUGGGACCCGAAAGAUGGUGAACUAUGCCUGAAUAGGGUGAAGCCAGAGGAAACUCUGGUGGAGGCUCGUAGCGGUUCUGACGUGCAAAUCGAUCGUCGAAUUUGGGUAUAGGGGCGAAAGAC